UUGAUUUGAUUUGGAUAUAUAGAUAGUUUAUGCUCAUAUCGAGGAGCCUUGACUUGAUUUGAACUCGUAGACCUUUUAAACUCGUGUCAAGGAGUGUUUUAUUUGGACAUGUAGACUUUUUAAACUCGUGUCAAUGAGUAUGUCAUUUGAUUCGGACAUAUAGACCUUUUAAACUCGUGUCAAGGAGUGUUUCAUUUAAUUUGGACAUGUAGACCUUUUAAACUCAUGUCAAGGAGUGCUUCGUUUUAUUUGGACAUGUAGACCUUUUAAACUCGUGUCAAGGAGUAUUUCAUUUGAUUUGGACAUGUAAACCUUUUAAACUCGUGUCAAGGAGUGUUUCAUUUAAUUUGGACAUGUAGACCUUUUAAACUCAUGUCAAGGAGUGCUUCAUUUUAUUUGGACAUGUAGACCUUUUAAACUCGUGUCAAGGAGUAUUUCAUUUGAUUUGGACAUGUAGACCUUUUAAACUCGUGUCAAGGUGUGCUUCAUUUGAUU
rnacentral:lncRNA from 1 species